AAACAUGGCCUUUUGAUAAUAAUUUAAGGUUUGGCCUGCCCAAUGAGUAUUUAAAUGGCCGCGGUAUAUUGACCGUGCAAAGGUAGCAUAAUCAUUAGUUUUUUAAUUGAAAGCUGGAAUGAAAGGUCGGAUGAGAAAAUAGCUGUCUCUAUUUAAAUUUUUUAGAAUUUUAUUUUUAAGUAAAAAAGCUUAAAUAUAAAUAGAAGACGAGAAGACCCUAUAGAGUUUUAUUAAAAUUUAUUCAUAAAAGUAUAAGUAUUGAAUUUUUUAUAAUAAAUUUUAAUUUGGUUGGGGUGAUUGAAAAAUUAAAUAAACUUUUUUUUUAUUAAAACAUUGAUUUAUGAAUAUUUGAUCCUUUAUAAAGAUUAUAAGAUUAAAUUACCUUAGGGAUAACAGCGUAAUUUUUCUAGAGAGUUCAAAUCGAAAGAAAAGUUUGCGACCUCNAUGUUGGAUUAAAAUAAAAUUUUGGUGUANAAGCUAAAGUAUUUAGGUCUGUUCGACCUUUAAAAUUUUACUUGAUCUGAGUU
rnacentral:rRNA from 1 species